CCACAGCUUACAAAGACACAAUUGCAUAGUGGGAGCCUUUGGGAAGUUUUAAAUAUCUUCUGUGAAGGAGGAGAAAUGUGGACAUGUUGGCCAAGCUGGUCAUUUUCAUGGCGGAUCUUACACUUACUUUGGCCAUUUUUGGUAUCCUCUAUGCUCUUUCCCUAAUAGCAACCACAGGUAUAUUCAUCUCUGUCCUCUUCUAUAUUUUCAAAGGGAUGGAUAAAAACUGUGACUUCAGCAAGGGAAGAAUCCAGGUGCCAGAUUCCAGCAGUGCUCCUGGGAAGGCAUUUGCAGGCAACAUGGAGAGUCAGGUCUGGAAUGCUCCCCACCUAUUUUCUGGCUGCAAGAGAAGAGGCCCAAGGAGUGUGUUUUUGUCUGCUAGAGAGCGAGGAGCCCUCUAUGGUGGAGGAGGUGUGCAACCGGACCUACCAGAACACCGCACCCACCCAACUGAGAGGUCAUUCAAACUGCCAUCUACACGUGAAUAACAAGGAAAUUCUCAUAAACAAGCAAACAUACCCAAGAGGCAUGAAGAGUUCUAAUACUUCAAAAAUGCGGAAGGGUCUUACGACAGUACAGAUGCAGAAAAGAUGGAUUUGAGAGCAGUAAAAACUCAACCUUGGAGAGGAUUAACAUGCUAUUCAACAAUAGGGUACUGAAACUUGUCAAAAUGCCUUUGGAGCUUGAAAUACCUAGAGCUGCCAAAAUAUUCAAGAAUGAAAUUGAAAAACGUUUCUUCAAAAUGCCUUAGCCAACCAAACAUGAACAUAUUUGCUAUCAUGGCAAAACUGACCAUUGCUUUUGCUGGUCUCAGCCUGGGCCAAGUUGGGCAUCCUUCACUGCCCCACUGGAGACCAGUGUCAAGUCCAUGCUUCCUUACACUUUGCCCAUCACGCCCUGUCAAUAUUGUACUUGUCACAGAUCACAUUCUCUGUUUUAUAUGCUUUGGUUAUUUGCUGUUUUUCCUACUUCAUCCUUAGAUUAUCCAUAAGCUUUAGCAACUGCAUCUCAGCUGCUCCGUGUUGUCAACAGUGCCAAUUCAAGUGCUGUGAUUCUUAAUAACCACGUGUCUGAAUCAAUAAAUACCAAUGAAAUCUACAGCUACAGGGAGAAAUGCCCUAUAUUCCACAGAAAGGCGAAAAUUAAUGAUGGAGGACCACCAGCUGAGGAAUGAACUUAUCAGAGUUCUCAAAAAUUCAGUAGGAAGGAGCAGAAGUUAGAGUCUUAAAGAUUUGUUCAUGUCUUACUGAUGGUUAACUCCCCAAGAGUAGUUAAUCAGAAGCAGAAUUCUAGUUCCCACUGUUGUUAAUGGGAAGUGAAGAGGAGACUCUGACAGCGUCAGAAGAGCAGCUGGGUUGGGAAAGUGUCAGAGGAGCCAUUGGGAGAGGAGAAACAAGGGAAGCUUGGCAUCCUGGAAUGUGGACCUAACCGGCACCGGAUUCUCCAGGAAGCUGAGCUAGAUACAAGAGUGUGUAUCCAAGAAGUUUACUUUGGGAAGUUCCAUCCCAGGGAACUGGAUUGGGAGACUUCAAAGAGUACCACAAGGCAAACAUGUCUUCAGGCUAAACAUUACCCAGGACAACUAGGGCUCCAUCCUCCAGGCGGCGCUCUGAGAAAAUGUGGAGAAUACACCUCAGAGUUGUCCACCAGAAGGACAAGGAGAAACUAUCCAUCAGCUGUCUUUUCCCAUUGGUCAAGAGUUAUGGGGACAGGAGUGUAAGGGAGUAGUGUUCAUGACCUUCAACUUCCAGGAUUUACCUGCUUCAGAAUAGCUGAAUGGUUUCCAGAAGGUAUCUUAAGACAUGGCAAAAAAGAAGCUCCAGAGCAGAAAGCAAGAGAUAGGUGCUGCCACUGAUAUAGGGUGCUAGCAGGUGACCCCUUCACCAAGCUGGUUGCUGUAAAAAGGAGGGUAAAGAGGAUGUGAUCUAGGGCACAAGAGGUGGCCAACACUAGCUCAUAGAAGCACAUGAGUCUAAUGCAAAUCCGUGUGGCCUGGCAAUAAUGAGCACAGAAUCAUACCAAUCCCUUCUGAACAAAAGUCAGAGAAAAGGGCAUGAAGACCAAGGAGUAGCCAGAGAGAGAAACUACUUGGGGAGUGGAAGAAGCCAGGCAAAGCAUCACGGACACUGCGAAUGAAACUCCACCUUUUCUAUGCUUCAGACACAGACUGACACCUAGGUGGUAUUUUUUUUCCUAUUUAGGUUUUUGAUAUUUAGUUGCUACUUAUUUCAACUUGCCAGCUCUGAUAGAGCAAUGCCAUCUACCAGCCAUUUUUAAUGUGCUCAUUAAUUAAAUU